CCAAACCUAAAUGGAAGUCGGCCAUUUUAGGUUGAGCGGUCAUUUCUGUUGUGAAAUUAAAGUUGUGUUUAACCAGAAUCACCCUUUCACUUGUGGCCACAGAUAAAGCUAAACUUAAGAUAAACUUCUGUUUUUCUCUAACUUUAAACUUUUUUCCCCCAAUCUUUCUCAGAGGAUGUUAAACUAAAACAGUCUAACAGGUCCAUCUUUCCUCUCCCCUCUUGUGUUGCUGUGUAAGAACCUGAACACCACAGUAUCUCAGGACUGGUGUUUGGCUCUGCAGAGGCUUAUCCGUUUGAAGGAGGAGGAGAUCCAGAACGCCAACAAGUGUCGCCUGCGCCUGUCUGUACCGGGCAAACCUGACAAGUCUGGUCGUCCAGUGAGCAUCAUGGUGGUCUUCAACACUCCCAGCCCCAUCUGUAAGAUCUCCUGGGUGAACCGGCUCCACCUAGCCAAGAUAGCUCAGAGACAGGAAAACACACCAGGGUGGGAAUGUGCUGCAGAAGAUUGGAAGACAAAAGCUCCCUUCAGUUGUCCACUGUUGACCUGCAAACUUCCUGUCUUCUCCUCCAAGACACACACUUUGAAGGUGAGA